AGAUGUGAGGAUGAUCUGGCUGUGACAGAUUGAUUCUUAGGGUUGAUUUGUCGAUCCGUUUGGCCAAUCAAGUGUUCCUUUCCUCCCUCACCACUCCAUUAUCUUCCUCCAAAUCUGCACUUUGUUGAAGAGGACAAACUUCUCUGACAGAGGAGGACCAUUCUUUGGUCAAAGGUAUAAGAGUGUCUGCACUCCCCUGUUAGAACCUCCAAACAAACUCAAGAAAGGCCUCUGUAUUCCCAAACCACCUAAGGGAAUUUAUUUGUAAGGAACACCUCAAAUUUAGGUAUCUUU
rnacentral:snRNA from 1 species